CAGCGCAAACGGGUUCCCAAACAGUGGGUCUGUGAAUGGCUCCUUACAUCAGCAGUCGUCCCCGCGGUGAAGUGUGAUUGGCACCGACAAAGAGAGGCAACAGCAGCGAAGGGCACGCGGUGCCCGAUGGACAUCCCCAAAAACCUAGUGGCUAAUACACGGUCGAUCGGGUCUGCCGCACGUGGCGCGGGCGGCCCCCCCGCGAACACCGGCGGACGCCCCACGCCCCCCCAACCCACCGUCCGCGGUGCGGUCCGGGGGGGCGCUCGGGGCCUCGCCGGGGGGGGGCCACGCGUUUUCCCACGCGAAGGCGUCAGCGAUCGCGCUGCCCCCCUCCGCGUGGUGGUGGAUUGCACCCAGCCGUCGGGACUGAAGACCAGCGCCCUGGGAAGGGCAGUGUGCUCGGCUGAAUCAGGCUGGUCCCCCCCCACUUCCCCGCGGGACGGUGUGGCACUGGCAGAGACAACGAGCACGCAGCCCCCCCGCCCCGCCCCGCACCCCACCGGGGGCGGGGGGGGGCGGGGGACACGGGAGUCCAUCAUCCGACAACCCAAGACGCGCGCGGCCGCCGCGUGUCGCGUGGGUGAAUGNGGUGGGGGCNGUGAGGGCCCCCCCUCCCCGCCCCCCUCCGGGUUCCCCCGCCCACACCGCGCGCCGCCGCGGACCUUGCUUGAUCGCUCGAACUUCUGACCUAUCAGCUUCUGACGGUGGUGCCGCGGACCACGGUGGCCCCAACGGGUGACGGAGAAUCAGGGUUCGAUUCCGGAGAGGGAGCCUGAGAGACGGCUACCACUACCAAGGUGGGCAGCAGGCGCGCAAAUUGCCCAAUACAGACGCACAACCCCCUGG
rnacentral:rRNA from 1 species